rnacentral:rRNA from 1 species
GAUGAACGCUAGCGGCAGGCUUAAUACAUGCAAGUCGAGGGGCAGCAGGACUGUAGCAAUACAGUUGUUGGCGACCGGCAAACGGGUGCGGAACACGUACGCAACCUACCCAUAACUGGGGGAAUAGCCCGGGGGAAACCCGGAUUAAUACCCCGUAACAUAAUGAGAUGGCAUCAUCUUAUUAUUAUAGCUCCGGCGGUUAUGGAUGGGCGUGCGCCUGAUUAGGUAGUUGGCGGAGUAAUAGCCCACCAAGCCUACGAUCAGUAACUGGUGUGAGAGCACGACCAGUCACACGGGCACUGAGACACGGGCCCGACUCCUACGGGAGGCAGCAGUAAGGAAUAUUGGUCAAUGGACGCAAGUCUGAACCAGCCAUGCCGCGUGAAGGAUGAAGGUCCUCUGGAUUGUAAACUUCUUUUAUAUGGGACGAAACCCUCGAUUUCCAUCGGGAUUGACGGUACC